rnacentral:rRNA from 1 species
GAUGAACGCUAGCGACAGGCUUAACACAUGCAAGUCGAGGGGCAGCAUAGAAGUAGCAAUACUUUGGUGGCGACCGGCGCACGGGUGAGUAACGCGUAUGCAACCUACCUAUCAGAGGGGAAUAACCCGGCGAAAGUCGGACUAAUACCGCAUAAAACAGGGGCACCGCAUGGUGAUAUUUGUUAAAGAAAUUCGCUGAUAGAUGGGCAUGCGUUCCAUUAGGUAGUUGGUGAGGUAACGGCUCACCAAGCCGACGAUGGAUAGGGGAACUGGGAGGUUGGUCCCCCACACUGGUACUGAGACACGGACCAGACUCCUACGGGAGGCAGCAGUGAGGAAUAUUGGUCAAUGGGCGGGAGCCUGAACCAGCCAAGUCGCGUGAAGGAAGAAGGAUCUAUGGUUCGUAAGCUUCUUUUGCAGGGGAAUAAAGUGCGGGACGUGUCCUGUUUUGUAUGUACCCUGAGAAUAAGGAUCGGCUAACUCCGUGCCAGCCGCCGCCGUAACAC